GGGGUCUUACUUUGUCUGAGAGUUUCUUCGAUCCCUCCUUCUUCCUGAGAGUUCCAUUCUUCUCCAGCAUCCUUCUCGACCUUAGGCAUCCUUCGAGUCGUCCCUAUCUUUGCAUCUCUACAUCCCUCGGACCAGCCUAGGUUAGUUCCAGAACUCCCUCUUUUUUUUUUCUUGUUGUUCUUCUUUCAUUUUUUCUCCUUUACAUUUUGCCUGUUCAGUUUUCCACGAGCAUCCC
rnacentral:lncRNA from 1 species